AUGUUGACGUGUCUCUUUCCAUGCAUCACAACGUGAUCUCCAUAGAAGAGGUAGAUGCACUGGGACUCGUGAAUGCUGAUUUUAACAGUGAAUCAUCGCCUGUUCGCGAAGAGAACUUCUUGUGUGAAGAUAACGAGACUACUGUCAAAAUGAAUGAUGCAUUUAGAACACCAACGAAGAAAAAACAACAUGUUCUUGAGAAGGGGAUGUUGUUUGAUGACAUGGAAGCGGCUCAUAAAUUUUACAUGGAAUAUGCACAUAGUCUUGCUUUCUCUGUUCGUAUAGGUCAACAGAAAUUAG